AUCUCCAAAAAGCCAUUUUGCAACCAGUUAGAGGUACACAAAGUCGCCUGGUUUUUGAAACACUUUAUCGUUCGUAAAACACUCAAGCUUCAUUGUAUCAAUAUGCAACUCAAGAACAAAAUGAGUCUCUCAGAGGGGGAAAAGAUGGUUUUUCUAGUUAAAGAGUGACGCAGCUACUAACGCAUGCAUUGAUUUACUGAACAAAAAAUAUUAAUAAAAAGCAUAAACAUUGGUUAGUAUUGUGUGUGAGUUUUGUUUGCAUGAAUUGUAUUCUCUUGGAGUUAUUCAAGAAUAAAGCAAGAAAAUCC